CGACACCUUAUCAAUACACCUUGGUAUUACUACUAAGUAGUAACUUAGUACUUAGUACUUGGUGAGUACUAAGUAUAACUACUCUCAUAAUACACGGCAGAUGGCGCGUAUUUUUUAUCACAGUCAACAAAAGCAAGCUUAUCAUUGUUAUCAUGUCGGUAAUCAUUAUAAAUUGGUAUUUGUAUCACGUUUGUAUUUUGUAUUGUUAUAUUUAUUAUUUUGUUACAUUCCGUUUGACCAUCGCAUUCACCAUGAUUCGUAAUCCCAAUGAUUAUUAUUAUCAUCAUUACUGUUUAUUAUUCUAAAUUCUUUUAAAUGUUGCCUAAUAUACAAUAUACGUAGUGCCUACACUUCUGUAGUUCAGUGCUUCAGUGUAUUAUAAUUAUAAAUUAUUUUAGUACAACAAUAUUACAUGUAGUGGACAGUGGUCUGUAGUGGAAUACAUUCGUCGAGAUGAAUGUCAAGAAGAAGAUCUUACCAGUAAUAUGCUUGAUGUCAGCGUACGUUCACUGGAUCAAGCCUCGUUUGCUGUCUGCUUCGGCGUCUAAGGGCGGCAAGUCGCUUUUAUUGCAUCUGUGUGGCCGUUCCAGGUUUCUCAUACCCAUGAUCGUGUUCACUGCGUUUUGGCUAUUUGAUGCACAGAUGCAGAUCGAGGCUUCCGUCAGCCUGACACUCAGGCGCAACGUACAGAUAACUAUUGGUACAGCUGAAGAGGAGCCCGAAGUGGAUGUUGAUGACGAUGAAGAGGAGGAGGACGACGAUGACGAUGAUGCCGAUGACGAUGACGACUUGUACACCAUUGAUUCGUAUUCAGACAUCUCUUCUACUUCUGAUGUUAGUGUGCUUGGAUUGGAAGACGUGCACAUCGCAUUACAGGAGUUUAUCAAUAGUGAUGGAUCUGGUAGAAGGUUUUCUAUUAGGCAUUCCCUUCAUCGCGAUCACCAUGAGCAGUAAAAUCGACUCUAAGUUGAAAGAAAAAACGGUUUUUGCCAUCCAAAAAAAUAGAGUAACAAAGUACCGUCAUUUUAGAGUUUAAAGAAAUUGCAUAUACACGCGUGUACAUGGUUGUGUGUAUAUUCACAUGUUUGACUGUUAUUGACAUACUUCAUAUUAUUCAAUAUAUAAUAUUUAUUUUAUAUACUUAUUUACUAUGUAUUAAAUGUAGUAACCAAUUUGAACCACAUAUUAUACCGGUGGUCUCGUUUACAAUGUCUGAGAAUUAUUUGACUUUCACCAAAAGACAAUAACGAUCCGCGAAUACAACAUGGUGAGAAAAUACUUGGGUCCAAGCUAUUUGUUUGCAUCGAGAACUGCUUAAACAUCUCCUAGUUUAUUCCCCGAAUCGUGCGACAGACCACGAGAAUAUACUAUUCUUACUUAUUUAUUAUUUCCAUUCAUAACGUCAGUAAAUGUAAUGUAGGUAUAAUAGACUUACACACAUAUUAUAAAUUAUAAUGGUAUAUGUUAAUAUGUUAAUGUUUAUUAUAGAAUAGGUACGUACAAUUGAUAAUAUUCUUAAUGAGUAUGAUAAUUUCACAAUAAAUAACAAAUUACAAAUUGUUAGAUUUUGAGCACUUACAUUUUAAAGAGUAUUCAUUUUCUAUCGGUAUAAUAGGUGGUUCAAGAUAUAAUUUUAAUCAUGAAUGUGGGUUAACAAUGAACAUGCAUCAACAACAA
rnacentral:misc_RNA from 1 species